rnacentral:tRNA from 2 species
GGACUCGUAGCUUAGCCUGGUAGAGCGCCUGACUGAUAAUCAGGAGGUCGGGAGUUCGAAUCUCCCCGGGUCCA